rnacentral:rRNA from 1 species
UACAGAGGGUGCAAGCGUUGUUCGGAAUUACUGGGCGUAAAGCGUGCGUAGUCGGUAUUGAGAGUCGCGGGUGAAAUCCCAGGGCUUAACCCUGGAACUGCCUGCGAGACCUCAGUACUAGAGUGUGAGAGGGGAUAGUGGAAUACCCAGUGUAGCGGUGAAAUGCGUAGAGAUUGGGUGGAACACCGGUGGCGAAGGCGGCUAUCUGGCUCACAACUGACGCUGAUGCGCGAAAGCUAGGGGAGCAAACAGG